rnacentral:lncRNA from 1 species
AUUGACAAGUGUGUCACAAACAACUUUUGGACAUUAAAAAUAAUCCAAAGUUUUCAUGUUUGUCUAUAUCUUCAUUCGUUAAAUCACUAUAUUCAUCAUUGUCUAAACUUUCAUAUUCUUAUCUAGUGUCAGACAAAUCUCUAUCAUGUAAGUCUUUAACUACUUCGUUUAACAUUUGGUUGGAAGACCCACUUGGUCCAACCACUUCAACUUUAUCUUCCCAAAAUUCAUCUUCCACCUCAUCUCCAUAAAUACUAACAUCCACUAUAUCGUCUUCACUCAAAACUUCUCAUUCAUACUCAUUCCAAUUACUAAGAUCAAAGUCAUCAUGGCCUUGAUCUUGCCCCUCCUUCUCCCUCUCCUCAUGAACUUCAUUUGCAUAGUCUCCCUCUCCCUCCACAACAACCUUAGGCUGACCCUGACUCUUACCUUCCACAUCAACGUUUUUUUCACAGUCACCCUCUUCCUCCAUAACAACCUUAGGCUCAUCCUUACUCUCACCCUCCACACCAACUUCUUAUUCACACUCACCCUCCCUCUCCACAGUAACCAUAAGUUAACCCUCACCCUCCUUCUCCCGACCCAUAUCAACUUUAGGUUCACAUUCAUUCUCACUCCUAACAUCUCCAUACAACCAUCCUUAUUACCAUUACCCUUUGGAG